CCUACGGGUGGCUGCAGUCGAGAAUCAUUCACAAUGGGGGAAACCCUGAUGGUGCGACGCCGCGUGGGGGAAUGAAGGUCUUCGGAUUGUAAACCCCUGUCAUGUGGGAGCAAAUUAAAAAGAUAGUACCACAAGAGGAAGAGACGGCUAACCCUGUGCCAGCAGCCGCGGUAAUACAGAGGUCUCAAGCGUUGUUCGGAAUCACUGGGCGUAAGGCGUGCGUAGGCUGUUUCGUAAGUCGUGUGUGAAAGGCGCGGGCUCAACCCGCGGACGGCACAUGAUACUGCGAGACUAGAGUAAUGGAGGGGGAACCGGAAUUCUCGGUGUAGCAGUGAAAUGCGUAGAUAUCGAGAGGAACACUCGUGGCGAAGGCGGGUUCCUGGACAUUAACUGACGCUGAGGCACGAAGGCCAGGGGAGCGAAAGGGAUUAGAUACCCGAGUAGUC
rnacentral:rRNA from 1 species